GAUGAAGAACGUAGCGAAAUGCGAUAAGUAAUUUGAAUUGCAGAAUUCAGUGAAUCAUCGAAUCUUUGAACGCACAUUGCGCCCGCCAGUAUUCUGGCGGGCAUGCCUGUCCGAGCGUCAUUUCAACCCUCAAGCCCCCGGGCUUGGUGUUGGAGAUCGGCGAGCCCCCCGGGGCGCGCCGUCUCCCAAAUAUAGUGGCGGUCCCGCUGUAGCUUCCUCUGCGUAGUAGCACACCUCGCACUGGGAAACAGCGUGGCCACGCCGUAAAACCCCCCACUUCUGAAAGGUUGACCUCGGAUCAGGUAGGAAUACCCGCUGAACUUAAGCAUAUCAAUAAGCGGAGGA
rnacentral:misc_RNA from 1 species